rnacentral:rRNA from 1 species
UGUUCCUUGGAACAGGACGUCGCAGAGGGUGAGAAUCCCGUCUGGCGGGGGUGUGUGGCCUUUGUAGAUUUCUGGCGACGAGUCGAGUUGUUUGGGAAUGCAGCUCUAAGUGGGUGGUAAAUUCCAUCUAAAGCUAAAUACUGGCGAGAGACCGAUAGCGAACAAGUACAGUGAUGGAAAGAUGAAAAGAACUUUGAAAAGAGAGUGAAAAAGUACGUGAAAUUGUUGAAAGGGAAGGGUGUUGGAUCAGACUUGGUGCUUUGCGAAUAUCUUCCCCUCGUGGGUUGUGCACUCGCACUGCGCUGGGCCAGCAUCGGUUUGGACGGCAAGACAAUGGCGUGGGGAACGUGGCACUCUUUUGUGUGUGUUAUAGCCCUGGCUGAUGUUGCCUGUGCGGACCGAGGACUGCGGCGUUUGUGCCUAGGAUGCUGGCGUAAUGAUUCAACACCGCCCGUCUUGAAACACGGACCAAGGAGUCUAACGUCUAUGCGAGUGUUUGGGUGUGAAACCCGU